UCCGGUUUGGCACCGGCAGUCCCUCUAGAGUCCUCGGCUUUACCCGUUAGUAACUAAAGAAAGGGGUUGCGCUCGUUGCGGGACUUAACCCAACAUCUCACGGUCUUCCCCCAGAUGUCAAGCCCAGGUAAGGUUCUUCGCGUUGCGUCGAAUUAAACCACAUGCUCCACCGCUUGUGCGGGCCCCCGUCAAUUCCUUUGAGUUUCAGCCUUGCGGCCGUACUCCCCAGGCGGGGCACUUAAUGCGUUAGCGCCGGCACCCAGGGGGUCGCUCCCCCAGGCACCUAGUGCCCAUCGUUUACGGCGUGGACUAC
rnacentral:misc_RNA from 1 species